UACGGAGGGCGCAAGCGAUGUUCGGCAUUACGGGGCGUAAAGCGCGGGUAGGUGGCCUGAAAAGUCGGGUGUGAAAUCCCGGAGCUCAACUCCGGAACUGCAUCCGAUACUGCCAGGCUCGAGUCUCGGAGAGGAUGGCGGAAUUUCCGGUGUAGAGGUGAAAUUCGUAGAUAUCGGAAGGAACACCAGUGGCGAAGGCGGCCGUCUGGACGAUGACUGACACUGAGACGCGAAAGCGUGGGGAGCAAAUAGG
rnacentral:rRNA from 1 species